UUCGAAUAUUUGGGCUUUUAUGGAUUUCAUGGUGUCUUUGUGUUUGAGCAGAAAGCAUGGGAAGUUGCACAGGCCCCAUUCAAGAAUUUGAUGAUGAUGGGUUUCAUGAUGUGGAUGGCUGGGAGUACGGUGCAUUUGUUUAGCAUUAGAAUCACCUUAUCACGUAUGAAUGGUUUUCUAUUACCAUCAGUCAUGGCAUUUUGUAGUAGCCACCUUGUCAUUGCGGAAUAAUUCUGGUUUAAUGGGAGGGUUUUGAUUCUUCAUUAUUGUUAUUCUGCCUUUACAUGCAUAUGUUUUGAUGAAAUAAAGGCUGAUCAGGGCUUGCUGUCAUAGCUCUCUCAGUAUGACAACAAGAUUACUAAUUAUUCACCUGUGCAGAAAAUGUGACUGACAUUACCUUCUCAAACAUACAUAUGAGCACAAGAUACUAUGAUCAAUCCUGGUGGGGAAGAGCGGAGCCAAUCUACGUGACCACAUGUCCUCAACACUCAAAGUCAAAGGAGGAAGAUGGACCAACAAUGCUGGUGGGUUGGUAGACUACAGACCGGGAUGUCAGGGACUUGUUAAACACAGCACGGCCGGGAUCAUCAUGGAACACAUCAAUGGCUUGGUGAUUGACAAUGUUAAUAUGAGAUGGUCCGAUGAUCCGUUAAGGCAGUGGAAUGAUCCUUUGGAUUUCAGGGCUGCUACUGUAAAUAACAUAUCUCUGCUUAAUUUCCACUCCAACUUGUACAAACAAUGAAGGAGGUGGAUAGAGAGAGAGAGAGAUUAGGAAGAAGUAUUGAAUAAUGUCAUUCCUUAGAUUGUAUGUUGGUGAUGGAUUUUGUUCAAAGUUUUUAUUAGAUUAAGGGCAUGAAAGUUUGUUCAAUUGGUCACCCACCAAGCAAAACCAAUAUCUAGAGUUGUUUUGUAUGUUAUGGUUUAAAAGUUUUUUAACCAGAAUACACUACAAAUUCUGUUCACUCACACUCUGAGUUGUGAGAAAUACAGAGGUAUUUCAACUGAA